AAUGAACGCUGGCGGUAGGCCUAACACAUGCAAGUCGAACGGCAGCACAGUAAGAGCUUGCUCUUACGGAUGGCCGAUCGCGGACGGGACACGAAUACAACGUAAUCUACUUUUUCGUGGGGGAUAACGUAAGUAAACUUACGCUCAUACAGCAUACCACCUACCAUUGAAAGCAUUGGAACGUCGGACCUGUCGGGGAUGAACUCGCCGAUUUCGGGUUAGUUAGUUGGGGGGGUAAAUGCCCACCAAGUCGACGAUCCGUAGCUGGUCUGGGUGGCUGGUCGCCCACCCUGGAACUGGGACACGGACAAGACGCCUACGGGAGGGAGCAGUGGGGAAUAGUGGACAAUGGGGGGAAGCCUGAUCCAGCCAGAGCGCGUGGGUGAAGAAGGCCUUCGGGUUGUAAAGACCUUUUGUUGGGAAAGAACCGCAGCAGGUUAAUACGCCGCUGUUCUGACGGUACCCAAAGAAUAAGCACCGGCUAACUUCGUG
rnacentral:rRNA from 1 species